CGGAACUUUUGAUUUGGGGAUUUACAUCAUUGUGUGUCACCAUCUAUGUAUAAAAUGGGAUUUACAUCGCUUGUCGUGUUUACAUUUUUGGAGUUUGGAAUAAUGUGUUGUUUGGUGUUUUUAUGGGUGUGAUUGAUAGUGACAGCUUAUGCGUACGGCUGUUCUUGUUGGAGUUUACGUUCAGUGUACAACCGAGGAGGCUUCACUUACCCAGAGAAAUGCCGAUUUCAAGAAAUCCGUGAAGUUUGUCUGGACCGCACCAGCUUCAUAGCAGAUCACAACACAUCCGUCUGCAUAGUAUGUACAUUCGUUCAAAAUAUGAACACAUUUUGGUUAAAUGUAACGUCU